rnacentral:rRNA from 1 species
GAAGAAAGAGGGAGGCGUGCUUAACACAUGCAAGUCGAACGGAAAGGCCUGCUUUCCCUUGUGGAUUGCGGGUACUCGAGUGGCGAACGGGUGAGUAACACGUGAGUGAUCUGCCCCCAACUUGGGUAUAAGCCUGGGAAACUGGGUCUAAUUCCCGAUAGGACUGCAGGGUGGUGCCUGUGGUGGAAAACGAUUUUCUAGUGGUUGGGGAUGAGCUCGCGGCCUAUCAGCUUGUUGGUGGGGUAAUGGCCUACCAAGGCGGCGACGGGUAGCCGGCCUGAGAGGGUGGACGGCCACAUUGGGACUGAGAUACGGCCCAGACUCCUACGGGAGGCAGCAGUGGGGAAUAUUGCACAAUGGGCGGAAGCCUGAUGCAGCGACGCCGCGUGGGGGAUGACGGCCUUCGGGUUGUAAACUCCUUUCGACCGCGAGGAAGCCACCUGGUUGGAAGGGUGGUGACGGUAGUGGUAGAAGAAGCACCGGCUAACUACGUG